rnacentral:lncRNA from 1 species
UCCGGUUUACAAAAGUAUUGUACAAUUUUUCAAUUUAAAAUGAUAAAAAGAUAAAUUCCUACAAAAGACUCUAACCCACAAAUAAUCACGAGCUGAUCAAACACCACAGAUGCCUGUCAUCCAGUCCAAUGACGUCAUCAAUACAUAUCAAAGAGAUCUUUCUCUUCGGACUCCAAAAAUAAACUAGAUCACUAAUCAACACUAACGGUCCUUGUAUUAUAAUUAAUGUCUCUCACAAUCACGUUUUUCGUUUCUCAAUGAACUUCAACUUGAGGUCUUAGAAUCAUGCACUAACUGUUGUAAGGGGUGAAUCACUCGUACACAAGUUACCAUCGUGAUGAUGUCACAAGGCUACACAUAAUAUUAUACAAGUAUAUACAUUUAUUUAACUAUUAUAUAUACAUACCUGAGNNNNNNNNNNNNNUCAAGUAGUCAAAUAGUCACGUAUAGUCAAAUAGUCACAAAAAUAUGAAUUGCACAAAACAUUAUAUCAAUAUCACAAUUCAACAAUUAGUCAAAAACAAAGAUAAUCGAAUAUAUCCAAUAUAUUAAUCAUCAAAUAUAUCAAACAUCGAGAUUUAAUCAUUUAAAAUGUAUAUAAAAUCCAAUCAUAAUUUUCACUCAAAGUUAUCUUCUAACUUGGUUAGUAUUAUCUUUAUUCAACCUACUCCAUAGAGACCUCUAUUAUGAGCGUAAGGCCGUUUCAACUGCCAUAACAUGGUUGUUUGCAAAUCAACAUAUAUCAAAUAUGUCUCAACCAUUCUGGCCCGAGCGCUACACCUUAUUAUAGAUAGUCCUGCACAGUCAGGUUUCACCACGUCGGGUUGUAUAAUUUCCUCCGGUCAUAGUGGCUAUCUCUGACUAUUGGUAAGAUUCAAAACGCCGGUGAUCCCCAUUAGGUCUUGAGGCGACCCAGCCGAACCUAUCCUCAGUCUUACAUACAUUAUAGUACUGUAAGAAACACCCUGUUUUGCUCUUCACCUAUCAAAGGUGAUUAACUGUUCAACUUUUCAACUUAAAUUUUCUUUGUCAAUAUCAACUUGACUUAUUAAUCCUCAAAACUCACCAUACAACUUAUGAGAGUUAACCUCAAUUUUUCACCAUAACACUCAAACACAUGAACAUUUUCAAAUCAUAUAUUGUAGAAGAUUUAUUCACACAUAUAAUCAAACUAAAAUCAAUCACUCAUCAUUUAACAUUUUGCAUAUACCUUAAUGAAUAUAAAUUACUAUAUAAAGUACACAAUAUCCCUAGUUAUAACUAAUAAUAUAUAUACAAGUAACACAUUUCUUGUGCUCAUCGAAACUUAUUAUUAGCGAUUCCCCUUACCUCGAAGCUUUCCAAAAUAACUCGANNNNNNNNNNNNNNNNNNNNNNNNNNNNNNNNNNNNNNNNNNNNNNNNNNAUAAUUAAAUCCUAACAAUACUAAUGUAUUAAAAGAAAUUAUUCAAGAACUGGAACCUAAAUUAAUUAAGAGUAUUACAUGACAUCUACUUCUUAUUUUCAUACGUGUAUAUGAAACAGAACACUUGAUAUUUUAUAGCUCAUCAUAUUAGUUCAAAAUUUUAUGUUCAGAAGGACUCAAUUAUGUUACUAUCUAGCUAGAUAAUUAAACUUUGCUUAAUUAACACUUAUAGAUGUACAAGAAAACAUUAUUCAAUUGCCUAAGCUAAAAACUAGAAGAACUAUGUAACUAAAGUCAUAAAAAUAUAUAUUUAACAGGUCCUCUGUUUUAUUUACAAUCUGACAAAGCUACAUAUUAGUUAAGGGUUAAAGAAACCAAACUUUAAAGCUAUUGAAAAUGUAAAUAUCUAAGAGUUUUUAGAAUGAAUGAAAGAGAUGAGUUACUUAAAGAAUAAAACAAACACAAUAUAGAAUGUUAGACUAAUAGCAUAAUGGAAGAAAAGUUAAGAGCUUGACCUUCGGUAAGCAGGUUGCCGAAAGUGAUGGUUGU